rfam:Picea glauca, whole genome shotgun sequence.
ACAUGCCUACAAAAUAACAUUAAUGCAACGAAUCCCAUUAGAAAUUUGUAGUUAAGCGCACUCAGGCUAGAGUAGUUAUGGGAUGGGUGACAGCCCGUGAAGUCCUAGUGUUUUACAUUCC